UGCUCUCUGAUAUUAUUUAAAGGGCCGCGGUAAUUUGACCGUGCAAAGGUAGCAUAAUAGUUAGUUUUUUAAUUGGAAUCUUGUAUGAAUGGCUGGACAAAAAAAAUACUGUCUCUAUAAUUUUUAUUGAAUUUAACUUUUAAGUGAAAAGGCUUAAAUUGAUUAAAAAGACGAUAAGACCCUAUAAAGCUUUAUAAGUAAUUUUAUUAUAAUUGAAUUAUUAAUAAUAUAUUAAUAAAUUAUCUUAUUUUGUUGGGGAGAUAAUAUUAUAAUUAUAAAUAACUGUAAGUAAGUAAUACAAUUAUAAGUGUAUAAUAAAUAGUAAAAGAUCCUAUUAUAUAGAUUAAAAGAUUAAGUUACUUUAGGGAUAACAGCGUUAUUUUUUUUGAGAGUUCAUAUCGAAAAAAAAGAUUGCGACCUCGAUGUUGAAUUAAAAAUUCUAAAUAAUUGUAGCAGUUAUUUAAGAAGGUCUGUUCGACCUUUAAAUUUUUA
rnacentral:rRNA from 1 species